CAUUGAGUGGACCAUGAUCUCCUCUGUAUACUAAAAGAUUCUGGAGUCACAUGUGAGGCCAUCUGUCUUACAGCUGAAGUUUGGUCCAAACUGGGCCAUCAACAGGACAACGAUUCCAAGCACAGCAGCAGACCUACAACAGUAACAAAGAGGUGCAAUGGCCUAGUCAAAGUCCAGACCUCAACCUAAUGGAAAUGUGGUGGGACCUUCAGAGAGCUGUGCAGAGGUCUGCAAACCUCAAUGAACUGAAGCAACACAGGAUAGAAGACUGCACCAAGAUUCUUGCACCAUGUUGGGUGAGACAGAAAACCUUCUGAGAGGUUCUGUUGAAGGAGGUCCUACAAGCUGCUGGAUCAUCUUACAUAUAAGAUCUUAAUAAAAGGUGGUGAUGAUCCUUAAUAUCAAGUCUUUAUCAAUGUUCAUUACUAAGAUUGUUUAAAAGGUGACGCGUAUGCUAACAUGUUCAGAAGAAGAGUCUCUGAUGUUUUCAUAUCAAUGAGUAUCUCGUGUUUUCACAAGAUAAACAUCCCUUCCUCCCAGAAAUUCCCAGAGCGUAGAAACUUCCUGAAGUGGGAAGCUCAGAGAAGAUGUGAUGUUCAGAUGAGAUACCAGGAGACUGUGCAGAGAGUCAGAAACAGGCUGGAAAUAUGGUGAAAAUUCAGUUAAAUUCCAAAAUAUUGAUCAUUUUUAGAUGUUGUUUUAUCCCUUUUCAUGAUGUAUUAUUGACAUUAAGCAGCUGCUCUCAGUGUUUAAUGGAGCAGCAGAGCAACAGAAGUUGGUAUAAAAACUGCAGAGGAAUUAAAAAACAACCGUCCUUAGAUUUAAAUGAGGCUAAUUUAUUUGCACCAUUUACACACGAAUUAAGCUUUAAAAGAAGUAAAAUGUUAACUGCAAAAAAAUAAAUAACCAAAAGCUGAAGGAGUAAAGCGAUGAAAUAAGUUUUGACCAUUCAUGGACAGCUUCAAUAAACAGUAAUGUUUUCAGUCCUAAGUUAAAAGAUCCAACAGUUUCUGCACAUCUCAGGUUUUCAGGCAGCUGGUUCUGAAGUAGAGGAACCAACUGCUUUUACUCUAUGAAUCAGGUUCAGCACUUGGUCCUCGUGGUAGAUGUUGUUGGUAGACGGCAGCAGUUGAAUGUAUAGAUAGGUCCUAAAUGUUUUGAUUGAAUUUAUGAAAAAUCUGAUGUUUCUGUCUUAGGUCCUGAUUAAGAUUUUACAUUGGACAAAUAAAAUGAUCGGUGGCUCAAGAUAGGCAGCUAAAACCAGCAGAGGAAGACUUCUUGUAACAUAGACCCAUCUUUGUUAUCUUCUGUGUUUAUGUUUAUUUUUGAAUGUCAGAGUGAGCGCCUACACACACACACACACACACACACACACACACACACACACACACACACACACACACACACACGUCUCCGUCCUCAUUUUCUCCAACAGCUGCAGGACUCGGAGCAUCUCCUGCACAGCUGACCCGGAUACGCUGACAGCUAUGAAAAGAGCUGUUGUUGACCACUGCUGACCCACUAUUAUCCCUGCACACACACAAACACACACACACACACACACACACACACACACACACACACACACACUUGCAGGUGCAGUGCAUCACGUGUUUGUAACAUUUCACUUUCUAAAUCCAGAGAUUUAAGGGGGAUGGAUUUCAUUUGGUACCCUGAAACAUUCUGUCUUGUUUACCUAUUUCUCUCUGGGUCAGAACAUUUUCAUUUUAUCUAACCUACAUUCAUGAUGUAACUCAUCGUCCUUCAGAAAGUGUCAAAACAACAAACAAUUUCUUUGAUUUGUUGUUUCCUGGACAUUUUAUGCAUUCUUUUUUAAAAACAACAGGAAUGCUCUGAUGUUAAUAUUAAGAUGAGUUUUUGAUUCUUCUGCAGCUGUCAUGCCCUAAAUUCAGCACUUCACAACAAAAAGCUUGAAUUUGUUCUGCAGCCUCGGCUGGAACAUUAACUUUGGUUCAGUCAGGUCCAACGCCUUCCCUCCAGCUUCUCUGCUCCUCUGAUCCAGUUUGUUUUGACGUUGAUGGUUUUCUAAACUCAACAAGGAUGAUGAAAAAUGAUGAUGAAUCCCCAUUAGUUAACCAAUCAUGCAUGUUUGUGGACUUUGGGAGGAAACUGUCAAGAGUCUGCAGUCUCUGCCUCUCCUGCUUACCUUCUUCCACCACCAGGUGCUGCUGAGGGCUGCGUCUCUGGGUGCGACAGGUGUUCCUUAUUUUGAUGAUCAUCUGGAGGAGUAUAUAGAGGACGGAUCGCCAGCACUUCUUUGCCUGAGUGUUUUGCCUACAGCGGUUCCAUAUUCAGUCUUUUGACUCAGUCUGAUGGUUUAUCGCACCCUGCUUCAGAAGAACCCGGAUCACGUUCCAGCUGGCAGUCCGUUCUCCGGUACUCUUUCCUCGCCUGCACGAACCCAGUCCACCCUCCAACGAUCCGCUUACUUGGACCACGGAAGUUCCUGGUGGAUUCCCAGAAGAGGCCUCCCUGGAUCUCCCUGGCGGAUCUAGUCCUCCCUGCACACUAUACGCCAUCUGAAACAGACUGUUAGCUGUCACUCACCAAGUACUUACCUGACCUGUUUCCCUCUUUUUCGCAGUCCUCUGGUUCCUGUCUGCGUGGGUAGCCCAGAUCAUUAUUUGUUCCAGAAUUCUAGAAAUAAACUGUUUACUGGUCUCUGAGUGUUCUUCCGUAUGUGGGUUAAGUCGGCCGUAAAAACGAUGACAAAAACAAGAAAACCCGUUCAGAGACCCUUGUCUGCAGUUUGAGAACAUGCAAACUUUGUACACAAUGGUCCUGAAUUGCACUUUAAACCAGGAACUUGUUUCUGUGAUGCAGCAAAGUUGAUCUCUGCAAUAAAACACCAUGCUGCUCUCAAAUGUAA